rnacentral:rRNA from 1 species
CCUGGGGAGUACGGCCGCAAGGUUAAAACUCAAAUGAAUUGACGGGGGCCCGCACAAGCGGUGGAGCAUGUGGUUUAAUUCGAUGCAACGCGAAGAACCUUACCUGGUCUUGACAUCCACAGAACUUAGCAGAGAUGCUUUGGUGCCUUCGGGAACUGUGAGACAGGUGCUGCAUGGCUGUCGUCAGCUCGUGUUGUGAAAUGUUGGGUUAAGUCCCGCAACGAGCGCAACCCUUAUCCUUUGUUGCCAGCGGUUAGGCCGGGAACUCAAAGGAGACUGCCAGUGAUAAACUGGAGGAAGGUGGGGAUGACGUCAAGUCAUCAUGGCCCUUACGACCAGGGCUACACACGUGCUACAAUGGCGCAUACAAAGAGAAGCGACCU